rnacentral:rRNA from 1 species
GGUAAUGCCGGAUGCUCCAGUUGAUCGCAUGGUCUUCUGGGAAAGCUUUCGCGGUAUGGGAUGGGGUCGCGUCCUAUCAGCUUGACGGCGGGGUAACGGCCCACCGUGGCUUCGACGGGUAGCCGGCCUGAGAGGGCGACCGGCCACAUUGGGACUGAGAUACGGCCCAGACUCCUACGGGAGGCAGCAGUGGGGAAUAUUGCACAAUGGGCGCAAGCCUGAUGCAGCGACGCCGCGUGAGGGAUGGAGGCCUUCGGGUUGUAAACCUCUUUUAUCGGGGAGCAAGCGAGAGUGAGUUUACCCGUUGAAUAAGCACCGGCUAACUACGUGCCAGCAGCCGCGGUAAUACGUAGGGUGCAAGCGUUAUCCGGAAUUAUUGGGCGUAAAGGGCUCGUAGGCGGUUCGUCGCGUCCGGUGUGAAAGUCCAUCGCUUAACGGUGGAUCCGCGCCGGGUACGGGCGGGCUUGAGUGCGGUAGGGGAGACUGGAAUUCCCGGUGUAACGGUGGAAUGUGUAGAUAUCGGAAAAGAAC